rnacentral:rRNA from 1 species
GACGAACGCUGGCGGCGUGCCUAAUACAUGCAAGUAGAACGCUGAAGGAGGAGCUUGCUUCUCUGGAUGAGUUGCGAACGGGUGAGUAACGCGUAGGUAACCUGCCUGGUAGCGGGGGAUAACUAUUGGAAACGAUAGCUAAUACCGCAUAAGAGUAGAUGUUGCAUGACAUUUGCUUAAAAGGUGCAAUUGCAUCACUACCAGAUGGACCUGCGUUGUAUUAGCUAGUUGGUGGGGUAACGGCUCACCAAGGCGACGAUACAUAGCCGACCUGAGAGGGUGAUCGGCCACACUGGGACUGAGACACGGCCCAGACUCCUACGGGAGGCAGCAGUAGGGAAUCUUCGGCAAUGGACGGAAGUCUGACCGAGCAACGCCGCGUGAGUGAAGAAGGUUUUCGGAUCGUAAAGCUCUGUUGUAAGAGAAGAACGAGUGUGAGAGUGGAAAGUUCACACUGUGACGGUAUCUUACCAGAAAGGGACGGCUAACUACGUGCCAGCAGCCGCGGUAAUACGUAGGUGGCAAGCGUUAUCCGGAUUUAUUGGGCGUAAAGAGAGUGCAGGCGGUUUUCUAAGUCUGAUGUGAAAGCCUUCGGCUUAACCGGAGAACUGCAUCGGAAACUGGAUAACUUGAGUGCAGAAGACGGUAGUGGAACUCCAUGGUGUAGGGGUGAAAUGCGUAGAUAUAUCGAAAGAAAACCACUGGCCAAAGCAGCUGCCUGGU